rnacentral:tRNA from 1 species
GGGCGAUUAGCUCAGCGGUUAGAGCGCUCGCCUCACACGCGAGAGGUCAAAGGUUCAAAUCCUUUAUCGCCCACCA